AGGGCGAACGCUGGCGGCGUGCUUAACACAUGCAAGUCGAGCGGAAAGGCCCUUUUGGGGGUACUCGAGCGGCGAACGGGUGAGUAACACGUGAGUAACCUGCCCUGGACUUUGGGAUAACCCUCGGAAACGGGGGCUAAUACCGGAUAUGACUUGGCCUCGCAUGGGGUUGGGUGGAAAGUUUUUCGGUCUGGGAUGGGCUCGCGGCCUAUCAGCUUGUUGGUGGGGUGAUGGCCUACCGAAGGCGACGACGGGUA
rnacentral:rRNA from 1 species